UCUCCGUAGGUGAACCUGCGGAGGGAUCAUUACAGAGUUCAUGCCCUACCGGGUAGAUCUCCCACCCUAUGUUAUUAUUACUUUGUUGCUUUGGCGGGCCGUUAGGCUCCGGCCCGACUACCGGCCCCGGCUGGUAAGCGCCCGCCAGAGGACCCAAAACCCUGAAUAUUAGUGUCGUCUGAGUACUAUAUAAUAGUUAAAACUUUCAACAACGGAUCUCUUGGUUCUGGCAUCGAUAAAGAACGCAGC
rnacentral:misc_RNA from 1 species